rnacentral:rRNA from 1 species
UGCUUGCACUGGGUGGAUGAGUGGCGAACGGGUGAGUAAUACGUGAGUAACCUGCCCUUGACUCUGGGAUAAGCCUGGGAAACUGGGUCUAAUACUGGAUACGACGGCGCAUCGCAUGGUGUGUUGUGGAAAGGGUUUUACUGGUUUUGGAUGGGCUCACGGCCUAUCAGCUUGUUGGUGGGGUAAUGGCUCACCAAGGCGACGACGGGUAGCCGGCCUGAGAGGGUGACCGGCCACACUGGGACUGAGACACGGCCCAGACUCCUACGGGAGGCAGCAGUGGGGAAUAUUGCACAAUGGGCGGAAGCCUGAUGCAGCGACGCCGCGUGAGGGAUGACGGCCUUCGGGUUGUAAACCUCUUUCAGCACGGAAGAAGCGAGAGUGACGGUACGUGCAGAAGAAGCGCCGGCUAACUACGUGCCAGCAGCCGCGGUAAUACGUAGGGCGCAAGCGUUGUCCGGAAUUAUUGGGCGUAAAGAGCUCGUAGGCGGUUUGUCGCG